ACCUGCGGCUGCCUCCUUCCUUUGGCUCCUUGCGUGUCUUUAUCUGAGCAUCACUUUUGCCUCCACUAUGACGCCCCUGAGCCUCCAGAAAGUGUCUCCAUCAGCUUUGUAAACCACACUGGGAUGAUGUUUGAGAAUCAGCAGUACACCCUGCAGUGUAGCGUACAGAACGUAGCUCCUGUUCAGAGCCUCACUGUGACCUUCUACAGAGGAAACACAGCACUGGGUCACCUACAGUCCAACAGUGAACAGAAGAAACCAGUGAAUGAGACCUUUACUCUGAACAUCACUCCCAGUAGAGAAGGUGAUGGAGCCCAGUACUGGUGUGAAACCAAGCUGGAGCUGGGACCAGCUGGACCACAGCGCCCUCCAGUGGUGACAUCAGAAAAACUCCCUGCUAUAGUUCACUGUAAGUCUGAGUGCAAGGACUCAAAGCGGCGCUGAGCUCCAAGAUGGCUCAGAGGUGAAGACUUUUCUGAAAACAUCCUUCAGGCCACGGCAAACUUGAAGACAGUGAACAUCAUUCCAGCAAUCGGUCUGAAUGUCCACAGCAUGCUGAAACAUGAAGCCAUCGUCCUCACUUUGGAAACGCUUAAGUUUCUGGAGGAUAAGCUGCUCUGGCACGAUGAGCGUUACACGCCUCUCCACCCGUUUAAACUA